GUAACCAGCCCGGGGACCACUCGUGCCCCCUCCCUGCCCUUUCUCACGCGCAUCUCCUGGUGGGGCACCCCCUUCUUAAGUCCUCGGCCCCUCCCGCCAACGGUCACCGGGGGAUCCUGGCAGAGACCUGGCCUCAGGAUUCUUGGGUCCAUCCUAAAUCGGUGCUAUAGCUAGAGGCUGUAUCUCAGGAGGGGAGUCAGCACUUUGCAGGACAAGAAAAGCUGAGACCAAGAUGAAGGCCAACAAAGAGCUCCCUCUUCUCCCUAAAAGGGGUGAGGUGCACAUACGAUGGGGGGCACGAUGAAGAUAACUUAGGAACCCAGAGACAAAUUUUUAUUUAAAAUUUAUUGUAAUGGGGUCUGCGCAAAAGGAGGGAGGGGAAGGGGGGGAAACAUGCAAGGGACACAGGAACACGAUGACAUGGCCAGGGCCACAGCUUCUGUUGUGGGAAAGAGGAGAAAAGACCAGGGCUGGAGCUGGGGUGGAAGAGGGAAGGGGGAGACACCGUGGCUGCAUUCCCCCACCCCCAGGAAGCACCUCUUGUCCCUGGCUCUCCUCCUUUACCCUGGCCCCCUAAGAUUCCAUCUCUCUUGUUCUGCCUCUGGCCCUAGUGGCUCCUUCUGAUGCUCCCCUUGGCUUUUCCCUGGAGAUACUCCAGUAGAUGUUAGGAUUUAGUCACUCCACCUUACUGAAGUAUCCCUCUGCCUUCCCUGGUUCUGCCCCUCAAUACUACUGUAUCCUUUCUCUGGGACAGAAUCUUAAUCCCCCUCCUCUCUCUCCUCCCU